AGCAUGUUAGCUCAGGGGAAGAGCGGUAAUUUUCACGUGACCUGCCAUAUUUGACCAAUAGCUAACGUUUCACAGCCGGGCUCAUAACCCGGAGGUACGAUUUCACCUCACCAACCAAUCAUAAUACGAUUCCUAACAAACAAUAGGUCCCUGGAUCGAAACCAGGACAUGCUA